rnacentral:rRNA from 1 species
GACGAACGCUGGCGGCGUGCUUAACACAUGCAAGUCGAGCGGAUGACGGGAGCUUGCUCCUUGAUUCAGCGGCGGACGGGUGAGUAAUGCCUAGGAAUCUGCCUGGUAGUGGGGGACAACGUUUCGAAAGGAACGCUAAUACCGCAUACGUCCUACGGGAGAAAGCAGGGGACCUUCGGGCCUUGCGCUAUCAGAUGAGCCUAGGUCGGAUUAGCUUGUUGGUGAGGUAAUGGCUCACCAAGGCGACGAUCCGUAACUGGUCUGAGAGGAUGAUCAGUCACACUGGAACUGAGACACGGUCCAGACUCCUACGGGAGGCAGCAGUGGGGAAUAUUGGACAAUGGGCGAAAGCCUGAUCCAGCCAUGCCGCGUGUGUGAAGAAGGUCUUCGGAUUGUAAAGCACUUUAAGUUGGGAGGAAGGGCAGUAAGUUAAUACCUUGCUGUUUUGACGUUACCGACAGAAUAAGCACCGGCUAACUCUGUGCCAGCAGCCGCCGUAAUAC